UGGGGAAUUUUGGACAAUGGGCGAAAGCCUGAUCCAGCAAUGCCGCGUGUGUGAAGAAGGCCUUCGGGUUGUAAAGCACUUUUGUCCGGAAAGAAAUCCUCUGGGUUAAUACCUCGGGGGGAUGACGGUACCGGAAGAAUAAGCACCGGCUAACUACGUGCCAGCAGCCGCGGUAAUACGUAGGGUGCAAGCGUUAAUCGGAAUUACUGGGCGUAAAGCGUGCGCAGGCGGUUUUGUAAGACGGAUGUGAAAUCCCCGGGGCUUAACCUGGGAACUGCAUUCGUGACUGCAAGGCUAGAGUAUGGCAGAGGGGGGUAGAAUUCCACGUGUAGCAGUGAAAUGCGUAGAGAUGUGGAGGAAUACCGAUGGCGAAGGCAGCCCCCUGGGCCAAUACUGACGCUCAUGCACGAAAGCGUGGGGAGCAAACAGGAUUAGAUACCCUGGUAGUCCACGCCCUAAACGAUGUCAACUAGCUGUUGGGGUUUAUUAACCUUAGUAGCGCAGCUAACGCGUGAAGUUGACCGCCU
rnacentral:rRNA from 1 species